CCGCGAAACUGCGAAUGGCUCAUUAAAUCAGUUAUCGUCUAUUUGAUAGUACCUUACUACUUGGAUAACCGUGGUAAUUCUAGAGCUAAUACAUGCUGAAAACCCCGACUUCGGAAGGGAUGUAUUUAUUUGAUUAAAAACCAAUGCCCUCCGGGGCUCCCUGGUGAUUCAUGAUAACUUCUCGAAUCGCACGGCCUUGCGCCGGCGAUGGUUCAUUCAAAUUUCUGCCCUAUCAACUUUCGACGGCUGGGUCUUGGCCAGCCAUGGUGACAACGGGUAACGGAGGGUUAGGGCUCGACCCCGGAGAAGGAGCCUGAGAAACGGCUACUACAUCUAAGGAAGGCAGCAGGCGCGCAAAUUACCCAAUCCCGACGCGGGGAGGUAGUGACAAUAAAUACUGAUACAGGGCUCUUUAGGGUCGUGUAAUUGGAAUGAGUACAGUUUAAUUCCCUUAACGAGGAACAAUUGGAGGGCAAGUCUGGUGCCAGCAGCCGCGGUAAUUCCAGCUCCAAUAGCGUAUAUUAAAGUUGUUGCAGUUAAAAAGCUCGUAGUUGAACCUUGGGCCUGGCUGGCCGGUCCGCCUCACCGCGUGCACUGGUCCGGCCGGGCCUUUCCCUCUGGGGAGCCGCAUGCCCUUCACUGGGCGUGCCGGGGAACCAGGACGUUUACUUUGAAAAAAUUAGAGUGUUCAAAGCAGGCUUAUGCUCGGAUACAUUAGCAUGGAAUAAUGGAAUAGGACGUGCGGUUCUAUUUUGUUGGUUUCUAGGACCGCCGUAAUGAUUAAUAGGGACAGUCGGGGGCAUCAGUAUUCAAUUGUCAGAGGUGAAAUUCUUGGAUUUAUUGAAGACUAACUACUGCGAAAGCAUUUGCCAAGGAUGUUUUCAUUAAUCAGGAACGAAAGUUAGGGGAUCGAAGACGAUCAGAUACCGUCGUAGUCUUAACCAUAAACUAUGCCGACUAGGGAUCGGACGCUGUUGUCUUUUGACGCGUUCGGCACCUUACACGAAAGUACAA
rnacentral:rRNA from 1 species